rnacentral:rRNA from 1 species
UAGUAACUGCGAGUGAAGCGGGAAAAGCUCAAAUUUAAAAUCUGGCAGUCUUUGGCUGUCCGAGUUGUAAUCUAGAGAAGUGUUAUCCGCGCUGGACCGUGUACAAGUCUCCUGGAAUGGAGCGUCAUAGAGGGUGAGAAUCCCGUCUUUGACACGGACUGCCAGGGCUUUGUGAUGCGCUCUCAAAGAGUCGAGUUGUUUGGGAAUGCAGCUCAAAAUGGGUGGUAAAUUCCAUCUAAAGCUAAAUAUUGGCGAGAGACCGAUAGCGAACAAGUACCGUGAGGGAAAGAUGAAAAGAACUUUGGAAAGAGAGUUAAACAGUACGUGAAAUUGCUGAAAGGGAAACGCUUGAAGUCAGUCGCGUUGUCUGGGGAUCAACCUUGCUUUUGCUGGGUGUACUUUCCAGAUGACGGGUCAGCAUCAAUUUUGACCGUUGGAUAAAGUCUGGAGGAAUGUGGCAUCUUCGGAUGUGUUAUAGCCUCUAGUUGCAUACAACGGUUGGGAUUGAGGAACUCAGCACGCCGCAAGGCCGGGUACUUGUACCACGUUCGUGCUUAGGAUGCUGGCAUAAUGGCUUUAAUCGACCCGUCUUGAAACACGGACCAAGGAGUCUAACAUGCCUGCGAGUAUUUGGGUGGAAAACCCGAGUGCGUAAUGAAAGUGAAAGUUGAGAUCCUUGUCAUGGGGAGCAUCGACGCCCGGACCAGACCUUUUGUGACGGAUCUGCGGUAGAGCAUGUAUGUUGGGACCCGAAAGAUGGUGAACUAUGCCUGAAUAGGGUGAAGCCAGAGGAAACUCUGGUGGAGGCUCGUAGCGAUUCUGACGUGCAAAUCGAUCGUCAAAUUUGGGUAUAGGGGCGAAAGACU